CCUACGGGUGGCAGCAGUCGAGAAUCAUUCACAAUGGGGGAAACCCUGAUGGUGCGACGCCGCGUGGGGGAAUGAAGGUCUUCGGAUUGUAAACCCCUGUCAUGUGGGAGCAAAUUAAAAAGAUAGUACCACAAGAGGAAGAGACGGCUAACUCUGUGCCAGCAGCCGCGGUAAUACAGAGGUCUCAAGCGUUGUUCGGCAUCACUGGGCGUAAAGCGUGCGUAGGCUGUUUCGUGAGUCGUGUGUGAAAGGCGCGGGCUCAACCCGCGGAUGGCACAUGAUACUGGGAGACUAGAGUAAGGGAGGGGGAACCGGAAUUCUCGGUGUAGCAGUGAAAUGCGUAGAUAUCGAGAGGAACACUCGUGGCGAAGGCGGGUUCCUGGACAUUAACUGACGCUGAGGCACGAAGGCCAGGGGAGCGAAAGGGAUUAGAUACCCGGGUAGUC
rnacentral:rRNA from 1 species